rnacentral:lncRNA from 1 species
ACUACCUUAUCACUCAUAAGAAUAAUUAUUAUAUAAAAAAUUGUUUUGGGCACUUUUAAGAAACAAAUGAUUACAUUAUACAUUCAACAUGAGUGGAACCAUGGCUUCUCGCAUGUUUAUAGAAGCACUCCACACUCGUCUAUAAAUAAAGAAAAUAUAACUCUAAGAAAUAACAGAAGAAAUAUUGCUUAAGAUUACAGAAGUUAACAAGGUCCAACAGACCCAAAAGAGAAUUGCUAACGCAAGAAGAAAACUUCAUUUUGACUCCAUCGAUAUCUACGUGUCAACAAUAUAACACGUGCUAGAUGAGUAACCAAAGUAAUCCGACAACAUCCUUCGCCGUCCGAGCACCGAUUCCGAUAAAGGAAUCACCACCGAUAAAGAAAUCAGACAUGGAUUUCACCGGGAUAAACCAAUCGAAGCUUCACAAACAGAAAACAGCUUAAGGCUAUGGUAAUAAACGAUGGAAACCACUUCAUUUCUUCAACACAAAUCGCAAAUCUCCGAAUCAAAAUCUGUAAUCACAAACACAAAGGAAACGCGCCAGUUCAUAAGCAUCAAAGCGACAAAUCGCUUAAACCUAUUUCACCAACACAUCAUGAGACUUAUUGAAAAGAAAAAGACGAAAGAUGGUGGAAAUAAAGCCAGCCAACUCCUGUUAUAUGAACCAGAAGCUGCCGAACAUAAAACUGGCCAUCGCCGCUACCGGAGAUGCCAGGCAAAAGCCCGACUAGCCGGCAAAACAAACAGAUUGAAAUUUCCUCUCUCUAAACUUUUGAGUAAUAAAAAAUAAUUCUUGUGCAGAGAGUUGUGUAGUUUUGAGGAUGCUCUAUAAAUUGGAUCUUCACACAGAAGCGUAUCAUGACGACAAGAAAACUUGAAAGGGAACUAGAGAUUUGGUCCAUGGAUUCCAAAUUAGAGAGAUGGAGGAAAACCUAUUCAAUAAGUUUAAUCGAUGUAACUACGACCCUUUAUCCAUCCAUGGAUGGCUUGUUUGUUCACGUGGCGGAGCCUCUCACCCUCUACUUGUUGGGUUAUAGCUCCUUAAUUUGGUCCGACUUCAUCAAAACUAGUUCAAUCUUUUUUAAUGUUUUGUCCAUUACGGAUUUGUUUUUCUUAUUUAAUGCAAUUAUGAUGAUCGAUGGAACUUAUAUCUCAACUUCGACAAGAAAAAAAGUUGAUGGACCAGAUAAUCAAGAAAAUCUGGACAAUCAAGAGUAAAUUUCUAAAUUCCAUGAGGUAACCACAACUCAAAUAAGUUAGAACACAAAACGUAAAUUUGGAUAUUCUCUCCUCAAUCAUCUUGUGUUAGAAAUUUUGUUCCACCGAAACACAGUUCUCUUCAAUUAGAAAUCACAGAUAACCAUCUCCCAAACUCACAAUGGACUUAUUUACCAAGCAUCUCAGCACAAGGGACUUAGUUACCAAACAAUGCUAAAGCUUUUGAAUGAUAGAAUCCAGCUCCCGUAUAUCUGCUGCUCUAAAGAAGCAAUACUCUCAUUAUGCCAAAAACAUCAAUUGUAACAAGUUUGUAACUUAGGUUACAAUUCUACCAACAUCCUAGUAUCAUACCAAAGAAUCCCUCUUGCAAAACUCAAGUUCAGAUAAAACAUUCGUAUGUUUGAAUAGAAAGAACAAAAACUGUAGCUGCUUUUAAUUUGGAGGAAGACAUGAGAAGACAUCAGAUCAAGACUGCCUCCAAUCGUGAUAAGAAGCUAAAAAAUAUAGGCACCAUGCAAAAGGUAGCUCUGCUGUUUCUUAUAAACCCAACAAGCACCCGUGUCUGACUUAAUGCCAUCUCCAAAAACCCAACAACAAGUACUCUAAAACCCAUCAUUAUCACCACAAGAAAAACAAAACCAAAGAAUCUAUAUAAUAUGUAGCCAAGAGUAUUGAAUCAUGAAACUAUUGAGAAAUAAGUUUCAUGGGUCUUCCUCUGGCAUUUAAUCUGGGCUCCAAGCGGCAGUCAGGUCACCAUUAAAAGUGGCGCCUGCUGUUGACUCGUUAAAAAUGGAGCCUUUCUCGCAAAACAAAAACAUUCGAAAAGGCACAGAUCUAUAAGAAGAAGUUUCAAACGAAAAGAGAUGAUUGAUGCGGUGAGAGAGAUAAAUUUGAGAUUAUAU